GGGUGCGAUCAUACCAGCACUAAUGCACCGGAUCCCAUCGGAACUCCGCAGUUAAGCUUGCUUGGGCGAGAGUAGAACUAGGAUGGGUGACCUUCCGGGAAAUCCUCGUGUUGCACCCC
rnacentral:rRNA from 1 species